rnacentral:misc_RNA from 1 species
AAAAUUUAAAAAAAAAAAAAGAUUAUGCAAUUUUUAAUUGAAGGAUAGAUAAAAAACAAGUUAAAACAAUAUUGACUAUUUCAAGAAUCCAAUGGUUGCAGAUCACAAUUUUAAUUGUGGCUGGCCUCUUUUGGAUAAAUUAUUUCAACCUUUUGGCCUACAUAACAUAUAUAAGCACCCGUGUCUAAAUUUAGAUUCAUAUCCCCGUGUUUUCUAUUUAGAAAGUUCACAAGUUUGACAUACGAAUGUGUAUCCACUUCCGACACCUGUACCCGAGUCUAAGUAACAUAAUUAUUAAGUCAUUAAAUUUUUUGUACAAUGAUUGACAGCCAAUUCCAUCAUAAGU